GCUGGGCGCCGUGGUGCGUGCCUGUAGUCCCAGCUACUCAAGAGGCUGAAUGGGGAGGAUCGCUUGAGCCCAGGAGUUCUGGGCUGUAGUGCGCUAUGCCGAUCGGGUGUCCGCACUAAGUUCGGCAUCAAUAUGGUGACCUCCCGGGAGCGAGGGACCACCAGGUUGCCUAAGUAGGGGUUAACCGGCCCAGGUCGGAAACGGAGCAGGUCAAAACUCCCGUGUUGAUCAGUAGUGGGAUCGCACCUGUGAAUCGCCACUGUACUCCGGCCUGGGCAACAUAGCGAGACCCCGUCUCUA
ensembl:misc_RNA Metazoa_SRP Metazoan signal recognition particle RNA